rnacentral:piRNA from 1 species
UGAGAGAGCUUGUCCUUUGACUGGAGACU